rnacentral:lncRNA from 7 species
GGGUCUGUCUAGGUUCAGAUUGCUCCUGGAACGGAAGCUCAGCUAGCUGCUGGCUUCCCCUGCGCUGCCUGAAAAUAACAUUUCCAGGAUCUCUGCGUGUCUGGUUCUUGAGGGCUUCAGUUACCUGAGCCCAGGGGAAGCUGUGGAGCGGCUGCCCCAUCUGAAUGGCCUGACAGAGGUGUGAUGGAGGACAGGUGGCUGCAGCCGCGGCCCCGCUGAGUGUGCCGGUAAAGAGUCACUGAGCUGUGCUGUCUGCAGGGAGCCUUUGUCCCAGCUCCAACCUGAACCAACCACGCCGCCUGUGUUACUGGGAUAGGAGGAGCUGGGCCGGUGUGGUGGACAACCAAACCCGCGGCUGAUGUCAGGGGUUAAUGACUGCUGGUUGGAUUUAUAAGGCUACCAAAGAUGCAGAUAGGCACCUCCAAGGAUCUUCAAAACACGAACAAAGGUACCCAACACACAAGGAAAAAAUAAAAACACAUGAAACGGCAGUUUUUCAAAGGAUGGCUAAUCUUCAUCAGACAUUGUAGAAAACAGCUUCCUUUGCCUUCAGGCAUGCUGUCUGAGAACAGGGAACUGAUAUGCAAACCAGACUGUGCUGCUCCAGAAUUUGCACACAAACUGAAAGAGAAUUCCUCAAGGCUCCAGAUUUUUUUUCCAGGAAAAAAGACUUGGACGAAAGGCUCUGGUGGCCUCAGAGGCCUGGCAGUGGGUGAAAUGUGCCUUUCACAUAGGCACAGAGAGUUUAUCUCUGGCAUGGAGCUGUUGGCCAGCACUUCUGGAAGUGUUUUGGUGGCUUCCUGUGAAUUCAAAGGGGUUGGGAGCCUAUUGGUCAGUCCCUGAUAGCCUUUCUGUUUUGUCAGGGAGGUGCUGGAGAACUGGCUAUGGAAAUGGAGCACCUCGCUGUGCCUGAAAAAGCAAUUGUUGUGGUUAAAUAGGGCAGGUGGUGCAGUAAGAACCCAUGUCUUCCUGGUCCUGCACUUGCACUUGCUGUUAGAAGAGGGUCUGAUGAGUUUCCCUAAUACUUCACGCCUUUUGGAAGCUAUCCAGAUGGCUCAAGGGACUUGAGAUGACAUAUACAACUACUCCCUGUGGAUCAGUGCUUUGAAUCAGGGGACAGGCCAGGCAGUGCACGGUGUCUAUCAUGUUAUGUUCCUGCUGCGAGCAGGCUGUGGGUGAGCACUGUAGGACUGCUUCACAGAGUCACAGCAUGGCUGAGGCCGGCAGGGAGCUCUGGGUCCAUCUGCUCCAGCCCUACCUCCAACUGACACCCAGAGCAGGCUGCUCAGGAACAUGUCCACGCAGUUUCUGGAGAUCUCCAGGGAGACUCCACAGCAUCUGGCCAGGCCGUGCCGGAGCUCUAUCACCUGCACAGCACAGAAUUGAUUUCUGAUGGUCACAGCAAACCUACCACGUUGCACUCUAUGUUCGUGCCCUCUUGUCCUGAUGUGGACACCACUGAUAAGAGCCUGGCUUUGGCUUCAAUGCAUCCCCUUCAGGUGUUCAUACACAUUGAUGAG